UUCAUGCAUACAAGGACUGGGGUACAGGCCAGAUGAGCAGGAGGGUGAGAGGAUUCACCAGAGACAGAGCGGGGAACAGAACAGUGGGUGAGACAGGAGAGGUCUGCUGCACCAUUUGGGAAUCCCCUUGGCCGCCCGGGAUCGAACCCACGUUGCAGAGGCUGCAGACAGCUUCACAGAGCUGCACUCAACUGCCUGCGCCACCAGGGUAUGCAAGCCUUGGAGGUUAGAGAACCAUCUCAGGGGAUUGAGAAGCUGCUGGAGCAUUUUACAUUCAGAUGAGGAAUUUUCCUUUUUGUCACGGUGGAUUGGAGACCAUCCCUGGUUGAAACAUCAUAAGCAGUGCAGAUCAAAGCAGCCAUACACAACAUGGAAAUGAAUGAGUGUGGUCCAAUCAAUCAUUUCUUCACCAAAAGAGAUGAUAACUACAAAGAAUGAAUCACAAAGUGACAACUCAGCAUACACAAAAGGAAAGAAAGAACUCUUAAGAUCUCAGCUCUUGUUUGUGCACUCCAUGAGACAAGAAACAGACAGUCCAACUACCUAA